rnacentral:piRNA from 1 species
AAGACAAACCUGAUAUAGAAGACA